AUGAAUCCAGGUGAAAACACACUCAUCAUGAAUCUAUAUAUAGUGACAUCACGUCCUACUGCAUCGAGAUCAGGACUCCUCCUCAAACAGACUCAUCAGGAAUCUAUAUAUAGUGACAUUUUGAAACAAACAAGGUGAGAAAGGAGAACUAAACAGACACCGGGUUGACAAAACUUUAAGAACACCUGUUCUCUUUCCACGACAGACUGACCAGGUGAAAGCGGUGAUCCAUUAUUGAUGUCACUUGUUAAAUCCACUUCAAAAUCAGUGUAGAUGAAGGGGAGGAGACAUGUAGAUGAAGGGGAGGAGACAUGUAGAUGAAGGGGAGGAGACGGGUUAAAGAAGGAUUUAGAAGCUUUUCGACAGUUGAGACAUGGAUUGUGUGUGGCUGUAAGAGCCUUCGAACGGGGUGUGGUAGUAGGUGACAGGCGCACUGGUUUGUGUCAAGAACUGCAAUGCUGCUGGGGUUCUCACACUCAACAGUUUCCCGCGUGUAUCAAGAAUGGUCCACCACCCAAAGGACAUCCAGCCACCUUGACACAACUGUGGGAAGCAUUGGAGUCAACAGGGACCAGCAUGCCUGUGGAUCGCUUUCGACACCUUGUAGAGUCAACAUGGACCAGCAUCCCUGUGGAACGCUUGACACCUUGUAGAGUCCAUGUCCCGACGAAUUGAGUCUGUUCUGAGGGCAACUCAAUAUUAGGGAAGGUGUUCUUAAUGUUUUGUUCACUCAGUGUAAAUUCUCUUCUCAACAUUACACUGUACACUCCAGGUCGACUGUUAAGCUCUUAGUAUUCCUUAUCUACCUGUUAAAUAACCAUAUUGAAGUAAUCAUUAAUUCAUUAAUGACUUCCCCCAUCAGCGGGGUUCAGUCUAGUCCAGAAGAACAGGUUGUUAGAUUGUUAGAUUGAGUUCCACAUCAGCAGGGUCCAGUCUCGUCCAGAAGAACAGGUUGAGUUCCACAUCAGCAGGGUCCAGUCUAGUCCAGAAGAACAGGUUGAGUUCCACAUCAGCAGGGUUCAGUCUAGUCCAGAAGAACAGUUUGUUAGAUUGAGUUCCACAUCAGCAGGGUCCAGUCUAGUCCAGAAGAACAGGUUGUUAGAUUGUUUGGCUUGUCUUCCUCUGUCAGAGCAGCUAGUAAAAGUCAAGUAGUAUUAAUUAUGAAACAUUUUCCCACCGAGAAGCUGUUCAACACAACGUUGACUCCAUAUGGACAACCUUAAAGUGACCGUGUAGUCUGUCUCUGAACCUCAACUUCACAGUUUGUUGCUAAAGUAGUGCAUCGUUUGGCUUCACCACAGCUGUCUGUUAGAGAGUCAGUGUUCAGGUGGAAACCCAGGUGGCUCCUGGUAAUUGGGAGUCAGAGAGUUCAGGUAGAAGCCCAGGUGGCUCCAGGUAAUUGAGAGUUCAGGUGGAAGCCCAGGUGGCUCCAGGUAAUUGGGAGUCAGAGAGUUCAGGUGGAAGCCCAGGUGGCUCCAGGUAAUUGGGAGUCAGAGAGUUCAGGUGGAAGCCCAGGUGGCUCCAGGUAAUUGGGAGUCAGAGAGUUCAGGUGGAAGCCCAGGUGGCUCCAGGUAAUUGGGAGUCAGAGAGUUCAGGUGGAAGCCCAGGUGGCUCCAGGUAAUUGGGAGUCAGAGAGUUCAGGUGGAAGCCCAGGUGGCUCCAGGUUACAUGGUUGGAAGCCCAGGUGUCUCCAGGCUACAUGGUUGGAAGCCCAGGUGUCUCCAGGCUACAUGGUUGGAAGCCCAGGUGUCUCCAGGUUACAUGGUAAUUCUCUUUAACAAUGUUAUUGCCAAUAGAAGAAGAAAAGUGACCCAUCCAUAUUUCCAGGAUGGGAAGGCACUUUGGUGACAAGUCUCUCCGUCUGAAAUUCCACCCUAUCCCCUCAUCAGGGAAUUAGGUGCCAUUUGGGACACACCCUGACAGGAAUAUGUAUUGAGCUGGUCUGUCAUCGUUGUGGUAGAUGGGUGUGUGUGUUUUAACUUCCUGGUCAGUCAUCGUUGUGGUAGAUGAGUGUGUGUGUUUUAACUUCCUGGUCAGUCAUCGUUGUGGUAGAUGAGUGUGUGUGUUUUAACUUCCUGGUCAGUCAUCGUUGUGACAGAUGAGUGUGUGUGUUUUAACUUCCUGGUCUUUGGGUUGUGCAUCUUAUCUACAAAUCGUCUCUGAAUGUAAAAACGGAGGUUUUAUCCAAGAAGGUUGUGUUUCCCAGGCCACUGAAAGACACAAACAUAACAAAU
ensembl:lncRNA